CAGGAGUAGCUCACAUACAGUAUGCAGCUGGCCAUUUACCAUAGACAGCCAUCACUGUAAGCUAUACCACUACUCUAAUGAUUGAUGAGUCAACACAAUCUGCUGCUGUGCACUCUAGUCUAGGAGACCGACAGAGUAAUUUCCCUCCACUCAACAGCCAUCAAGCACUCAGCCUUUCAGCAUGCUCUAAGCAUGAAUAAAACAUAAUGUUCAGGGGAGGAGAGUUCAAAUCAAAUCAAAUUUUAUUUGUCACAUACACAUGGUUAGCAGAUGUUAAUGCGAGUGUAGCGAAAUGCUUGGGGCAGGUUCUGUACAAUGCAUGAACGGGCCAUGCCUUGCUGAGUAAAGAGUGAAAUGUUGCUGUACCUCUCUUGCAUAAAACAGAAAGGAAAUAAUACCAGAAAAGAAUUUAUAACACCACAAUCACUUCCCUCCCCCAUCUUUUGUUUCGUAGGCAUGGGUUCUGAACAGGUGGCCUGAAAACCAGGACACUUUACCUGAGCCUGAGGAGAAGAGAAGCCCUGACAACUAACCAAUGCAUUUUGCCAGGACUCCUGAAGGGAUGAGCUGGGCUGGAGGAUGCAUGGCAUCAUCGCGGGCAACAGGGACACUUUGUUAUACAGUAUGAGGUGACUGAGGAGCUGAACAGACAUAUCCUGCAGUAUGACAUUCAGCUGCUACUACUAGGAAGUGAAAACGCUGAUUUUCUACUAAGUGAGAUGUGAAAUAACAACUAAUC
ensembl:lncRNA